AGGGUAUGCUUAGAGCAGGGGCCUGAAAAAUGGCCCCUCUCUUUGUAACACACCCAAUAGGAAUCCGGAGUCAUUGUGAUAGGAGGCACAAAACCUGCGGCCUCCCUACAUACAAAUUCCCUACACGU
ensembl:snoRNA